rnacentral:rRNA from 1 species
CAUGCAUGUCUCAGUGCAAGCCAAACUAAGGUGAAACCGCAAAUGGCUCAUUAAAUCAGUUAUAAUUUAUUUGAUUAUCCAUUAUAUUACUUGGAUAACUGUGGCAAUUCUAGAGCUAAUACAUGCAAACAGAGUUUUUGCCUUUACCGGCAAAAGCGCUUUUAUUAGAUCAAAACCAAUGCGUUAAUUUUACGAUUGACGAUAACACUGGUGACUCUGAAUAACUUUUUGAUGAUCGCAUGGUCUCUGUGCCAGCGACAAUUCUUUCAAAUGUCUGACUUAUCAACUGUCGUUGGUAGCUUUUACGCUUACCAUGGUUGUAACGGGUAACGGGGAAUCAGGGUUUGAUUCCGGAGAGGGAGCCUGAGAAACAGCUACCACAUCCAAGGAAGGCAGCAGGCGCGCAAAUUACCCACUUCCAGCACGGAGAGGUAGUGACGAAAAAUAACGAUACGGGACUCAUCCGAGGCCCCGUAAUCGGAAUGAGAACACUUUAAAUACUUUAACAAGUAUCCAUUGGAGGGCAAGUCUGGUGCCAGCAGCUGCGGUAACUCCAGCUCCAAUAGCGUAUAUUAAAGUUGUUGCGGUUAAAAAGCUCGUAGUUGAGAUUGUGUUUCGCACUGUUGGUGCACCAUUAUUGGUGUUUACUUACAUGUUGCGAAACGUCCUGUCGGUGAGAUUGACAUGUCUUGUCUUUUUUGUGUGUGUAUAUGGGUAUGUGUGUACAUUUUUAAUGUUAUACAUGUAUUCCAGUACAUGCGCGGAGCAUGGCAUUCUUUCUCUUUUUCACCCAUUAUGGUGCUCUUUAUUGAGUGUCGUAGCGGGCCGACACGUUUACUUUGAACAAAUUAGAGUGCUAAAAGCAGGCAAUAAUGCCUGAAUAUUGUGUGCAUGGAAUAAUAGAAUAGGACCUCGGUUCUAUUUUGUUGGUUUUCUGAACCCGAGGUAAUGAUAAAGAGGAACGGACGGGGGCAUUCGUAUUGAGACGUUAGAGGUGAAAUUCUUGGAUCGUCUCAAGACGGACAGAAGCGAAAGCAUUUGCCAAGAACGUUUUCAUUAAUCAAGAACGAAAGUUAGAGGUUCGAAGGCGAUCAGAUACCGCCCUAGUUCUAACCAUAAACGAUGCCAGCCAGCGAUCCGCUAUAGUUCCUCCGAUGACUUAGCGGGCAGCUUCCGGGAAACCAAAGCUUUUGGGUUCCGGGGGAAGUAUGGUUGCAAAGCUGAAACUUAAAGGAAUUGACGGAAGGGCACCACCAGGAGUGGAGCCUGCGGCUUAAUUUGACUCAACACGGGAAACCUCACCAGGUCCGGACACUGGAAGGAUUGACAGAUUGAGAGCUCUUUCUUGAUUCAGUGGGAGGUGGUGCAUGGCCGUUCUUAGUUGGUGGAACGAUUUGUCUGGUUAAUUCCGAUAACGAACGAGACUCUAACCUGCUAACUAGCCGUUUCCAACAUCAUAUGCUGUUGGCGGUUUUAAACUCUUCUUAGAGGGACAGGCGGCUUCUAGCCGCACGAGAUUGAGCAAUAACAGGUCUGUGAUGCCCUUAGAUGUCCUGGGCCGCACGCGCGCUACAAUGAAGGUAUCAACGUGUCCUCCCAGGCCGAAUGGUCCGGGUAACCCGCUGAACCACCUUCGUGCUAGGGAUUGGGGCUUGCAAUUGCUCCCCAUGAACGAGGAAUUCCCAGUAAGCGCGAGUCAUAAGCUCGUGUUGAUUACGUCCCUGCCCUUUGUACACACCGCCCGUCGCUACUACCGAUUGAAUGAUUUAGUGAGGUCUUCGGACUGGUACGCGAUAGCGUUAUUUCUAUAAUGCUGCCGAUGUUACUAGAAAGAUGACCAAACNGAUCAUUUAGA